CACAUUGAGUGGAUGUUUUCAGAGAACUAUCCACAUUGAAUUUCAUCUGCCAUUUUGUUGCCCAGUCACUCUGUUUUGUGAGUUCUUUGAAGUCUGCUUGGUAUUUAACUAUUUUGAGUAAUUUUGUAUCAUCUGCAAAUUUUGCCACCUCACUGUUUACCCCUUUUUCCAGAUCAUUUAUGAAUAUGUUGAAUUGGAGUGAUCCCAGUGCAGACCCUUGAGGGACACCACUAUUUAUCUCUCUCCAUUCUGAAAACUGACCAUUUAUUCCUACCCUUUGUUUCUUUUUAGUUAACCAGUUACCAAUCCAUGAAAGGACCUUCCCUCUUAUCCCAUGACAACCCCCAUCUGCCCCUCCCCAGAGAGCAGAAGUUGAUUUUCUUUGGGCUUGUCUACAUUACCUGCCGGAUGGACAGGCAGCGAUCGAUCCAGCGGGGGUCAAUUUAUCGUGUCUAAUAUAGACACGAUAAAUUGACUGCCGAUCGUCUAGUGUCAACUCCGGUACUCCACCUCUACGAGAAGUACAAGGGGAAUCGACGGGAGAGUGACACACUGCAGUGAAGACACCGCAGUAAGUAGAUCUAAGUAUGUCAACUUCAGCUACGUUAUUCACCUAGCUGAAGUUGCAUAACUUAGAUCGAUAUCCACCCUCACCCCAGUGUAGACAAGCCUGUUCAUCUUGAACACACUGAGUAACAGCAUAGCUAAAUAAGGCAAAUUCCUGACAGAAGUUUAAGCAAGCAUUCAUCAGAUCUGCAUCAUUCUUUCAGGGCCUUUCUCUCUCUCCUGUUGUUAGCACUGUAGCAUUUUGGAGCCCCACCGUCACUAGACAUUGUCCAUCUCUUCAUCAAUGAGAGACCCCCUGCCUGGUGCAAGUCUUUGAAUAUUAACUUGCUUUUUUAUAUUAGUUGUGGAGUCUGAGAGCCAAUUCUGUAGCCCCACUCAGUUCCUUUUGUGCUGCCAGAAGGAUGCAAAAGUGAUAGAAUGGGGAAUGGCCUGAUGGUGUAGAUCUCACUGUUUCCAUGGCAUAGCCUCUUCUCCUGCCAUCAUUCCUCCCCAUGUAGGAGACAUUUGAGAAUGUUACUGAAGCACACUGAACCCUAGUGAUCAAAAGCGAAUACUGCUGGUACAAGUUAGAGCAGCUUUGACACUCCCUCCAAAGAUCAAGAGUGGAGAGUCACCUAACCCUCCUGUGACACAGAGACUCCCUGGUAAAGGGUUCCCUGUUCUUUGCAAACACCUCUUGUCUCAGAUUGGAUAAACUCACUACACCAAACACAUGUAUUGCGGGGUAUUUAUCCAUAAUGGGUAACAUGUAAGAUAUCUACAAAAAGCUCAUAACUUAUCAAGACUCAUUAUCAUUGCGAGAUGUAUGGAUGGGUAAUAGUUAAGAAAUAAUGUAACUAUAUGGAAAGUGUGCUUUGUGGACUUGGAGUAGUCACCAGGAGCUAAUAUGUCUCGAUGAUGGCCCAUUCAAGUAGGAGGGAGUUGUCACGCCAUACUGGUCAGUCAGUGAUGCAGGCAAGGCUCCAUAACCUAGCCUUGCUUUUUCCCAAGACUUUCAAUGGAAAACCAUCAGAGACAAUUGCAAACAAUCAAAAAAAUAAGGAACAUUACAACAGACAGAGACUCACCCUGCCUAUGAGUAAAGACAAAAUACUGUUUCAAUAUAAUGGAGAGGGGAAAGAAUCUGGAUUAAUUCACUGAGGAAACAUUUUGUGGAGCAGGGGGUGCUUUUUGUGAAAGUUUGGAUCCUGGUUGCUCUAAAGCCAGCCAACUCCGCAACAGUCUGAACUUGGAAGGGAAAACCUACUUUAUGAGAUAGGAAAGGUAAUAAUAAUAUGUGUAGGCCCUAGUUCACAUUUUAUGAUUUUGUUUUGUAUUGUAACCCUUUGUUUCCAUCAUUCUCUCGUUUCUAGUAGAAUCUCUAUCCAGUUUUAAAUUAACCUUCUUUUGUUUUAUUGCAAGUGCUGUGCCUGCUACAGGAGCGGUGGUUUACGGUAAAACAAGCUAAUUGGGGUACACUGCUUCUUUGGUGGCAGAGACUCUGCCAGUGUCAGGGGCUGACUAGCACAGGGGAACGAUUCACAGGGUCUCAGGGGCUGGGGUGCACCUCGUGUUAAACUGCGCAGCGAAGACAGGGCUGGCAUUGCCCAGAUUAGAGUGCUCGAGUGGCUAAUAGGCUGAUUGUAUUAGGGAGCGAACACCCAGGUACCAAAAGCAAGGAUCCCUCAUCUUGGAGGCAGGGGGUAACAAGGUGACUCACAGAGAACUGUCACACCUCCCCCUCCUCAAGGGUGCUGAAUGCGGUUUUGUACUCCCACGGAGCUGGCCCCUAUAUUUUAUUUGCACAGAGCUCAUGCCUAUGCAGGUCCCUUAACUUGGGAAGUGGAAUAAUCCACCCUUCCCUGUAAAAUGGCUAUUGCACCACCUAACAUAAUACCAGCCCCUCGUAAAGGGGUGUCUGGCUAAGCCCUGGGUCCCCCUGAGCUAGAAUCUUGAAGUGGGAUAACUCAUUCAUUGGGGGCUUCUGAGGUCAGUUAAAACCCCAAAGCUGGACUUCCACCAUUGACCUUGCUAUUGAUGCUCACCAAAAGGUCAUCAGUUUUUGUUCUGGGAUUUCAGCCAUUUUAAUGCCCUUUUGAGCGAGAGUCUUGAAACAAAUCCCGCUUUGAGCUUGGAUUUCAAAAUCUGAUGCAGUUAUCCAUUAGGAACUCCUCAUUACAGUGAAGAAAACAGCAACCAACUGGCAUCUCCCUCACCAGACUAACAGCUUAUGCAAACAAUAUUAAUUUCUUCUGCAUUGGAUAUGAGGCCUCAAAGAUGAAGAAAUUAAGGUCAUGGGAGAGCACCAGUUCUUUUUAUCAGAAAAUUGGAAGGUAAAAAAAGUGCACCACAGGUGCUGAUGUUAGCAUUUAAUAAAAGCCUCAUAGACUAAGGUCGACAGGGACCAUCAUGAUCACCUCGUGUGACCUCUGGCACACUGCAGGCCACAGAACCUCACCCAACCACUCCUGUAAUAGACCACAACCUCUAGCUGAGUUACUGAAGUCCUCAAAAACUUCAAGUUACAGAGGAUCCAUCAUUUACAAUAGUUUAAAUGUGUAAGUGACCUGUGCCCCAUGCUGCAGAGGAAGGUGAAAGCUCCCAGGGGGUUUUAAGCCUCUUUAAAAUUACAUUGUUAUAAAAUAAUUUACAACCUAGCCUGGUCAAAAUGAGGAUUGUGUGCAUAUUCCUAGUCCGCUCCCAUUAAGGGGCUGUUGGCUGGUUCUCUCUUUCAGUCACAGUCUUAAAGGUAAAGUAACUAGGUUAUGCUCAUGUCAUUUUACUGAAUUAUUCUGCGCUAUAUUAAAUCCGAUUUUUUCAACAGCACCAAGUGUCUGUCCUGGCUCCUCCAGUUUAUCUGCCUGUGUGGUCUCUUCUGGCUCCUCCUGCCUAUCAGCCCCCCAGUUCAGCCAUCUGGUUUCAAAAGCUAAUUCAGCACUAAUGAGGCUCCAUGCUCAGGACAGUGCCAAGCACUCGAGGAAAUGCCUUAUCAUAGGGGCAGGUUGAUGCGGAGUUGACAAACUGGCCGUUGGAGUUGUUUGCAUUGUGCUACGUGGUCUUGAGGUUUUGGAUUCUUUCCCUGCACGGAGUCUCCUCCUCUGUCAGCCUCUUGGAGAUGUUCUCCAAGGGGUUGAUUGUGGGUUGUACAUCUCCCCAAAUUGUGGCCCUUAGUGAUUUCACACUGGAGGUCCACCAGAACCUGGGCGUAAGCCUCUGGCCAGCUAGCUGGGAUGAGGAACUCCUGGACUGCCUCUCUGCUCAAGCGCUGUGGAGAAAUGGAGCAUGCCGCAUGGACUGUGGGGUUUAGAGGUCGAGCCAAUGUAUAUAAACUGGUAGGUGACUUCUAGUGCAGAAGAAGAGAGUUGGUAUAAGGGUAGGAAAAUACAGUCCUGGGGAAUUAUGGGAAGGCUUUGGAGGACUAGCAGCACUUGAGUUAAGUAGCCUGCAGCCACACUGCAAAUUGGGGAGAGUUAAAGUCUGAGUUAAAGCAGAACCCAAGCUCUAAUUUAUAGCCUUAGCUGAAUCAGCUAGUCCAGGCUUAAAACACCGCCAAACCCCAGAGGAGAGGGUUUUGUGUGUGGAGGGAGGUGACGUAGAGAUAAACCAGGGGUCGGGUCUUGCAGUGAAGAUAUACACUUAUAGGGUUAAAAUGAUCACCACCAGACUGGGGACAUUGGCAGGGACCUUGGGCAUCUCCCGCCUUCCUCUGAACCACUGAGCACACAUUGCCUGUUAGGAUUUAUCUCAGAUGAUUGAUUGUCUGCAAUGGCAUGGGAAGCAGGGAGGGUGCUGGGGGCCCUCUAUCCCUGUCUUGCACUCAUAGGACUGCCAUCAAUGGAAGAGCCUUGUUAGAUUAUCUAGUAAUCCUCCCUCUCUGGCCAUUACAAAAAAUGUUCCCUUACGACAUGUUUUCCAAUGCUUUGUUUUACGUAUCUCCAACAACUUCCUUUAAGAACCUAUUCCACAGCCUAGAUCUCCCAGACAGGAAGGCUGUCCUGAUAUACAACUCAAAAUUUCCUUUCCACAAUAUUAACCCAUUACUCCUAGCUCUAGCACCCUUGAUCCAUCCCAAACGCCUCCUCUCUCUCCUUGGGGAUACUUGCAGACCGUUGUUUAACCAAACUGUGUAUCAGAAAUGGACUAAAUUCAUUUGUUUAUUCUUUGGCCUGUUCCCCCCAUAAAGUGGCACCAGUUCAACUAAAGGUGUGAUUUUAAACUGAUUUAGCUAAACAGGUACCCCUUUGUGUGCAGCCACACUUAAAUUGAUUUAAGCCUGAUAUCAGCCAUGCUUGCACCUGCAACAGACAUAAGAGUGUCCACACAUGGGUUUGCACUGGUGUAGCUAAAUCAGUUUUUAAGUCAAUUUAAAUUAAACCAGUGCAAGUUGUGCGUAUAGACAAACCCUUUGAUAGCAUCCCAGAGAAUGGUUCUCAGGAUUGGAUGAGCAAUCUUAAUAACUAAGGUUCUCCUGCCUGAGAUUUGGAGUCAACUAGCAGCGGACGUAAAUGAAGCAUGAAACAUCUUGGAUGUAUAGGAAACUGGGAAGAAACAUAGCACCUGAGGCAAGACACUGGUGAGGGUGAGUGGGGGAGACCAACACAGACCUCUCCCAUGAAAAAAAAUAAAAAUAAAAUGCAACAGAGCAAAAAAAUAGCUUAUGAGCUGCCGGAUUCAUGCAAUAAUGUCUGCUACAAAGAGUUGAUUUACCAGCGUCUUUCCUCACCUGGGUAGAGGAGAGGAUGCCUGGAGGACCAGAAGCCAGGAGGGUAUCCAAAAGAGCCUAGUGUCCCAGAACAGCAGGAGCCUGAAAGCCGAGGGAUUGAGACAAGUGUAGCCUGUCCUUCCAUCCAAAAGACUCUAAACACAGCAGUGCAAAUGCAAACAGCUGAAGAGCUGGCUGGCUUGUGCAGCGAUGUCCAAUGUAGGCCACUGAAGUUAAUGGAAAACUCCCAUUGACUUCACUGGGCUUUGGAUCAGGCCUUCAGAGGAGGUGCGGAUGUUUUGCCUGACCUCUUAAUACUUUUGCAGUCUCAUUGACCAGGCUUCUCUGUCUUUCAUUCCACCCCGCUCCAACCAUCCACCGGGGUGGCUGACCUUGAAGGUUGUUAUCUGUUCAUCUUUGACAGAUCCAAAUACUUUAUAAACUGCAGGAAUCUUGAAGGGACUGCAUCCAAAUCAACAAUUCAUCCCAUUACUGCUACAGUAGAACCUCAGAGUUACGAGCACCCCGGGAAUGGAGGUUGUUUGUAACUCGGAAAUAUUCAUAAUUCUGAACAAAACAUUGUGGCUGUUCUUUCCAAAGUUUACAACUGAACAUUGACUUAAUAUAGCUUUGAAACUUUAUUAUGCAGAAGAAAAAUGCUGCUUUCCCUUUAUUUUUUUUAGUGGCUUACAUUUAGCACAGCAUUGUACUGUAUUUGCAUUUUUUCUUUUUUGGUCUUUGCUGCUGCCUGAUGGGAAAUUCCAGUUGCAAAUGAGGUGUGUGGUUGACUGGUCAGUUCGUAACUGAGGUUCUACUGUACAUAUAGCUUUUUUAAUGUGCCUUCUUUUGUUAGCCCCUUAUUCUCCCUUGGACACAGAGCUCAUGGACUCUCAUUGGAAUCAUUCAUUUGUAUAGGCUUGGAUAAGAAAGCUGUAGUGGGGACUGACUCGAGGGCCAUAAGUAGAGGAGAAUAACAAAGCAGUAAUGUGCUGAGCUGGGAGGGACGGUAUCUAGAGAGGGUGCCAUCAGGACUGGUGCAAGGUCCCAUGGUAUUUAUAUGUUAAUUAAUAAUCUGGAAGUGGGAAGAAAGAGCUCAUUAACGAUACUCACAAAUGAUGCUAAAUUGGAAACACAUACAGAAGUAAUACAAAAGGGACUGAAAGCAACCAGGAAAGGGGCAAGAGAUUCAAUUUGGAAAAAGGGGGAAAUGAUUUGUGUUUCUAAAGACAUACGUAAAUGAAUAGGUACAAUAAGAAAGACACCUACAGGCAGAUAUACAAGCAGGUAGAACAAAGGUAUAAAAGAAAAUACUACAGAUUAAUUAAAUACAUAACAAUUUUGUGUGUGUGCAUUAUGGUAACAUCUCGUGGGCCCAACUGGGUUCAAGGUUGCAUUGUGCUAGGUGCUGUAUAUAGUAAGAGACUGUCCUUACCUCAAAGAGUUUAUAGUCUGAAUAGGCAAAGGAUGGGUGAGAGGAAGGAUUAUUAUCCCUGCUUUACUGAUGAGGCACUGAGAAAUGAAGGGACUUUCCUACAAUCACACAGAGGUGGGGGCUGGUGUCUCAUCUGGGUGCAGCACAGUGUAACUUUAGCUCAGGGCCAUUCCUAUUUGUCUUUGCUCCUUGCAUGUUAUGAAUAGAUAUUAGCUGGAGCUCAAUGGUCUCCAAACUGGUCUUGGAACCGUCCGAGUCAAGCUGGGAUUUGUUCCCUUGUUCAUGUAUUUUCUUUAGUCCUACAAUUAAAACGUUGCUUUCUUUCAUGAGCCAUACAUAAUAUGUUGGUGCAUUUCCCUGCAGCUGUUAAUACUCAAAAAAGUGUUAUCUGCCAUUGACCUGAGGAUUAAGGGGAGCAUCUCCCACAAUAUAACAAGGCAGGGUUUCUAGCAGAAUAACAGGUUCUGAGAGCUGUCAGUAUGUACCAGCGGAAUGUUUGGCUCUCUGCACAGGGCCCCGAAAUUGAGGUGUGUUUACAACAGUUACAUAAUGAGGUGUUACCCAGGGAAGCAAGCUUGUUUGUUUUAAUCACACUUUUUUCUGCCUUUAGUCUCCAAUGUCCCAGUUCCGAGCUGCAGCUGAACUGAGUUCAUAGACUCAGAGGCGGGGGAGAAGAGGGAAGAACGAGAAGGUGGCUGUAUGCCAGCUUUGUGGCAGCUUGAAUUUUGGUGACAUCUGGGGAGAGCGGGGGCGGGGGGAGGAGAUCAGUCCAGUCCCCGCUCUGAUCUACAGUAGCCCAAAGGCUACAUUAAUGUCCUUUCAGCUGCAACUGGUCACAAAGCACUGGCACCCAAAACCAGAGGGAGCACUGAGGUGCGCCAGUCCCCUGCCCUUCACCAGGGCUGCCAGGGGUGUGGCAAAUAGCCAUUCUUCCAGCUCUGGGCGUCCUGAGAACCCCUCUCCUCUAUGCUAGCGAGACUCCCAGGUGGCUGGUUCCAAGGCCCCUUUGGGACAGCAAAGCCAACCGAAAGGGGCUGCAGUGCAACCUACAAUGGAGGCAAAGUGCUUUUGAUUUCUGGGCACUCGGGCUGCACUGAGGUACAAUUAAGGAAGCAGGUGUCUGUCGCUCCAGACCCAAAAGAUUGUGGCAUUUUAAGUGCGUAAGCAGGGCCUUGUUUAACAGCCGAUUGCUGGCUCUUGCUAACGGCAUGUUUCCAACAGGUUUUGGAAGCAAGUCCUGACUUGCCAAAGUCAGGGCACUGCCUCAGUCUGUCCUGGAUGAACCCCCAUGUUGCAGGUGACUGAGCGCUCAUGUGUUUGCUUAUUUGCGUACAGGCAUUUCAGUGGCAGACACCGUUGCAGCACUGGAUAUAAUUAGCAGUUUGGGGUUUUUUUAAAUACACAGAGCACUUGACAGAACCCACAGGAAGCCAUAGCCUAGCCUCAAAGAAUGUCCAGACUUGGGCCUGAUGCCGGAAGACUACCAGGCACCGUCCUUGCCCCCAUGAAUGGUCCAACUGUCUUCUGCGCAAUUAGUCAUUGUAAGAAACACUUAGCCUGGUAAUAAGUGUCUGCAGGACCUUAAUUUUAGACAUGACAAGUAAAUGCAACAAACAAAAGGCAGGGGAGGAGCUGAGAUAAUAUGGUGAUGAGGACUAUAUGAAUACCUAGUGAGACUGUGUGUGUGUGUGAGAGAGAGAGAGAGAGAGAGAGAGAGGUGUGUGUGUGUGUGUGUGUGAGAGAGAGAGAGAGAGAGAGAGAGAGAAGAAAGCAAACUGCACAAAACCGAGGUCCUGUGUUCACUCAAUCCAAGUGCAUGGAUAUUGUGAGGGUGCCAUUAAAAGUGGUCCUAUACCACUGACUCUGGUUUUGUGGACAUCAUGGAAGAAGUGCAUAUUCAGGGGGAGUGUGAAGGGGACAGUGUUCCAUCAUCAUCCGAUUGGGUCUCACAUUUGUCAGGCCUCCUUGUGGGUAUUUGCUGACUGAGGGCUGCUGGCAGAGAACUUGAAAAGCAUUCCAAUGCUAAUUUAAAUAAAUGAAUGACUCAGAAUGGUUUGCCUUGGAGAAGGGCAUUUUAGCCAGCCAUUGAAGCAUCAAAUACCUCAGGGAUUCUUAAUUUGCAGAGCUAUUUUCUUUUCCCUUUCAGGUGCUUCUUUUUUUAAGCCUCUUUCCUUUGAUGUAGCCAGAGUCUCUCACAGGUACUGUAAAUCAAGGUAUAGGAGGUACAUUUGAUACAUUUCCUCCAGUUUGAAGAGCUCUCAGGGACAUGUAUUUAAAAGGGUGUUUUUCUGACAUUUAUUGCGGCCGCUGUUACUGAUCAGCGUGCAAAGGGACAUUAUGGUGGUCUGACUUUUUUUUUUUUUUUUUUUUUUGGUUCCCAUUGGGAUGACAAAUCCUCACUCUUGGAAGCACAUUCCAAGUAGCCAGGUGGGAGCAGAUGUGCUGGAGCAGAGGGAAAGAAUCCUCGUUCUACCUCAAACAGCAGCUGCAGAGUUACUCCAUGGAAGCUAGCUACUGUGCAUCUUGGUGGCUGGCGUCAUCUCUUCAGCCCCUUAUUUGGCCACCAGAGGAUGGAGGAUCUUGCAUGUGUCCAAUACACCAUAGAUACCUUAAGGACAAAAGGAGCUCAGGCCUGCAGGAACUGCUUUUAAAUUCACAGUGAUCACAGACUGUACUGGGGUUGGGGGAGGAAUGGAUAGAUAUCUGCAGCCUUCCUGCCCCACACCUUUCCUGUCACCUGACUCCCCUCACACAUAGUGCCAAAAAACAUCAUCAAUAGCAAUUACAGGGCUGCAAAGUUCAAAUGUUCCAGAGGGACAGUGCUGCUCACUUUUGUCAUGCUUGGUGUUUUUCUUAAACCCCCAGUGCCUGGAGUCAUGUGAUUCUGAGACUCAGCUUUCAUUUGUUUAAAAAUAGAACCCUCAUGGGUGCAGAGAAAAAGCUUGAACACAUGACCGGUGUGCACCCGUCUCCUCCCCAAAGGCCCAGAAAUAAGAAAGCAAUUAUAAAAUUAAUUGCGUUUAUUUUUAAGCCCAUGAUUUGUAUGCCAGUCUCAUGAUUUGAGGCCUGAACGCUUGGGGUUGAUAAUAGUGCAGUGAACGCCACAGUCUACUAAAAAACACAGGAAAGUCCUUGGACACGGGCCUAGGAAUGUCUGUCUUUCUGGGAAACGCUUAAUCAAGGCAUCGAGACUCAGCAGCUCACAAACUCAGAGCUUUCUUGAUGCGACUAGAACUCAUGUUAACUCUUUCCUUGUUCUACUGCCUUCCUAUGUUCAGCCUUUCUGGUUCAUGGCCUAUGUUUAAAAGGUGUUAAUCGUCAGAGCAGGGACCAGAUUCAUUUUAAUCUCUGUGUAAUAACAACAACAAAAGAUAUGGUGCUACAUACAUAGUUAAUAGCAAACAUCAUCUGUGAGGCAGCAGAGUAUUUACACGAGUUCCUAAAGUCCUGGCCCAGAAUGCACUAGAUUCAGUGUAAAGCCUAGGAUGGAUGCUCUGGAAGCAGCCUCUUCUUUGGUUGGUGGCUAUCUAGGGAUACUAAAUGCUUUGGUAACUUUUUAUAAAAUGUCCUUUUAAGCUAAAGGGGGAGGCGUAUGUAGUAUAAAGGGCUUGGGUAGCAUCCCUUUACAUAGCUCUACUAGAGGGCGGCUCACAGUGGUCUAAAUUUCAGAAACCAGACAGAGCAGCAGUGUUGAGAUGUUUAGUAAACACGGUUUAGAUCCUAAUGGGCCCCUGUGGUUCCUUCUUAUUUCAUAUAUGGCCCAAAAGGCAGAAGACACAGCAGAGGCUCCAAGUUCUCAGCUAAACAGUAGGGAAUGUCCUAAGGACCUCGUACAUGCAAUUCAGUCACUCUCCUAGACUCUCUCUCUCAUUUAAAGCAAUCUCACCAGUUAUUGGUAACAAGAAGAGAUCAAACCUUUUAAGAAACAGUAUUGUUAAGUUGACAGUUAUUUUAAUGGAGGACAUUGAGGGAAAUGUAAAUCCUAGGAAAGAACAAUGUUAAGGGAACUGGGCCUUUGAGGGGAUGUCUAUGCAGCAAUGAAAACCCCCCCGGCUGGCCUGUGCCAGCUGACUUGGUUUGUGGCGCUGUUUAAUUGGGGUGCAGAUGUUCAGGCUCGGGCUGCAGCCCGGGCUCUAGAACCCUGUGAGGUUGGAGGGUCCCAGAGCUCAAACUGCAGCCUAAACCGUGUCUACAUGGCAAUUAAACCAACCCUUAGCCAGAGCCAGCUGGCACGGGCCAACCGUGGGUGUCUAGUUGCAGUGUAGACAUACCCGGAGAGAACUUAAAAGGUGGCACGGGAGUAGUAUGUAGGAAGGAUACAGAGGUGGAUAUACGCUGUUAGUCACUACGAACAGUUCUACUAGCACAUGAUAAUAUGUAACAUUGUUCAUAGGUUAGUGGGACCAAUAAAGUUAUCAGUGUGCACUACAAAUGGCUUCCUUAUCACAAAGCUCUUAAGAGGAAGCUCCAGGAGCUUUGAUUACCGUGCCCCAGAAUACACUGGCCACCAAACUUGUCCCUCCAAGUGCCGUGCCAGCAUAUCCUAUUCCUUUGAAGGUGCUGGACACAGCAAGACAAGCUGUUACUCUUGCUGCUCUGUUACACUGGAAGCUCUUAAGAUGCUGACCCCCAACCCCUAAGCAGUGCUCCAGUCCUUAAAAAAAAAAAAAAAAAAAGUGUAGUACCAGAAUGCACUGCUGGUAAGUGAAAAUACCGGGAGUACCAGAAUGUGGAGACAGCUUCCCCAAGACAGUGCUGGAACAGGGUUUUCCAGCAUUCCCAUAGACUCAAGUCCCACCCAUGGGUCUCUACUGUUAGGUUUUUCCUUUCACUGAAUAAAUGUGUUUCAGAUUAUUUACCCCUGACAUUCAUUAACUUUACAAAGCUGAAUUCAAAUUUGUGGUUUCCUACUUAUCUUUAGCACAUCUUUGACUCCCAACUCCUUGCAACUGUGGGGCCUGUUCUCAUUUCCAUUGAAGACAGUGGCAAAACUUCUAUAGGAGCAGCUCCUCCAUAGUAAAGAACAGUCAGCAGCUCAGACAGGCACUUAAGCUGUCCUGGAGCACAGGUGGUGUAACUUGUGGCUUUAAAAUAUUUAGUCACAUGCUAAGCGAACAGGCUUGUCUGCGAUUAAAUCUACCAAGGAGGGGAGGAGACAGGAAACAUGUGGGUGGUUUGUGAGUGUUUAUAUCUGCAGCUCAGUUUCCAGGAGUUCUUCACUGCUCUUACUCCAAGCAGAGUAACCAAAAGGUACAGUUUUUCCCUCCAUUUCAGUAUCCUUGUAAGUAACAGCCAGUCACCUACCCUCACACAUGUGGUCAGAAGCACACCAGUGGGCAAUUCAGCCAUAUAAGGCACCAGAGUUUGACUAUCCUAAUCCCAAACUAGUGUGCAAACAGCUCAAGGGGAACUCUCUGUUGAAAUCUUGAAUCAGACUGCCUGCCGCCGUAACCACAAAGCUGCUUAAUAAGAAGGCCCAGAUCAAAGGCCCAAGCUAAUUCUGGAUCAAAGGUGGAUACACACUUGUAACCACAGGGAAAACCCAGUUGUGGGACUUGAAGACCAAAACUCUGCAGAGCCUAAGGUUGGAGCUGGGGUGACGUCUGGUAAGCUUUUUAGUGUGUGGAAGUUCUUUAUGGUUUUCAUAGGUUUUCUCUAUAAUGUUUUCACCUUAAGAAUAAAUGCGCUUUCCUAGAAGGAGUUUGUGGUAACUUAUAACUGUUAGUAAUACACUGGUCAUAGCCCGUGGAGAGAAAGCAGAGCGCAGAUGCUGGCCUUUUUGGGCAGUCUGGCUUGCUGGGGACAUCACAGCGUAAGCAGGGAACUAUGCAGCCUUAAAAUCCCUGGUCAGGCAGGAGUAAUAUGUGGGUCUUCAUCCAAGAAAGGUCAUGCGUGGGAGCCAGAAGCCUAAAGUGGGUGCCCUGGGUGGAUCAGUGAGGGGGAAUACAGUCCGGUUGCCCUGAAACCGUGACACAUGGAACAACAUUAGAGGACCAUCCCUUCUUGUGGUUUACCACUUUGAACUUCUCUAGAUGCUGGAUGAAACUUGGAGCCUCCCAAGGCAGAGGUGGAUUAAGGCCAUAAACAGACUGGCUGAUUUGAGCCUCAUGCUUUGAGAGGACCUCCAGAUUUUGAAAAAUAGCUCUCUUCCCUUACCCACCAGGGUGGUCCAUGCAGUCUGAAUCCAGCCCUGUUCUGAGCUAUACUCUGCACGUUAGGGAAUGGCCAGACCAUUUAGUUACUGGGCUCAUUCCCAUCUGAUUUUAUGAUAGUUUCUUACACUUAACCCCCCCACCCCAAGAGCUCAGAGUAACUGUAGAAGACUCUCACCAGUCGGUGCACUCCCUUGUGGCAGGGCAUGAUGUUGCAGGACCUUCUCAUCAGUCACCUCCACUGGACAGCCAGUCAGGCUUGCUGGUGGUCAAGUUAUUCUGGUGAUCUGGGCCUCUGGCCAGGUCACAUUCAGGCUCACCCCUUCCAGGGUAAACCAGGAAUCCAACAAAAUGACAGUCCCCUGCCCUCACACUGGACCUUCAGCGUGACUCAAGAGUCAGUAGUCUUCACCCCUUGUAUCAAGGGUUUCUGCACCACCUUCCUCAGUAGGCCGUAGGGCAGCGGGCCUCAACCUAUAUACCAUUCUGGGCUGCAUAUGCGGCCUACAAUAUGUUACGUGGGGUGCAUCCAAUACUACCUGUAUGGCCCUGAUGUCACAUGAACUGCAGCUGUGUGCUGGUUGGGCCACAAGCAGCCCAAGGCCACAGGUUGAGAACCACUCCCUUAGGGGAACCAACACUCUCCUUCUAUUCUAGAGUCCAGUCCAGGGACCCUCUAGCAAGCACACUAAGAUGGUCUACUCAGACACCUUGUUUUUAUCCCUGGACCGCUUCCUCCCUGGCCCUAUUUCAGAGCUCUUGCCGGACUCAGCAGGUCUCUCAGUCGGCCUCUUCUCUAGGCCUAUUGCAAAGAGCUUCCUAACACCUUACUACCAUCUCUUUUGCUCUAUGCGAAUUUUUCUACUCCAUCCAGAGGUAGGGUUACUACUGCCGAGACAUAAUAAGAACAGCCAUUGGCCAUCACCCAAACACCAACAAAAGCCAGCCACUGGCCACCUAACAAAAAGGAUCUGGCUACAGCUAAAGUGUUUGAGGGAAACAUUUUACACACACACACAGAUUUUAAAGUGUAUUUUGAUGUUAUUUUAUCACUUUACCUGGAUUACAGGGAUGUGAAACAUAGAACAUUCUAACGCACCCCAACUGAAAAAAAAAAACAAAAAACUAACAGCACAUUAACGCUAUCGACUAACAAGGAAGCUAGCUGAAAACCAGGCACAUAGCAACCCUAUUCAUAGGUCAACUCCCCGACGCUGCAGGCAUCUAUAACAAAGUGGAGAUCCCCAGUGCAUAUUCACUUCCCCUUGCUUUCCUUCCUGUUUAUAACUCCACCAGCCUCUAUCAUAGUGACCCAGCUCCUCUGCAGUGGGCCUAAUGCUAAAUUGGGCAUGGCCCACCCUCCAGGGACCACCAGGAGGGCUAAUUGGGCUCUUAGGCUCCUGUUAACCCUUUGUUUGCCAGCGUGGGGUCUAUACACACCAUCCCAGGAACCUUCACUUUGGAUUUCCAGGCUAACAGUUGUUUUUUGAGAAAUCUGCCAUACUCUCUCAGGGGUGUUUUAAAUCAUGGAUAUUUACAAUCUUCAGGCCACAUUCAGCGUUUUGCCAACUAUUUCCUGUGGUACUCUGUAACUCAAAGCAGCACCCUGGAAUCCCCAUUUUCAUCACUGUCAUAAUUAGGAUGUGUUUUGUACAAAGUAUGCCUUGUGAGGUAUCAUUUUUAAAGUCUUGAUCUGUGGAACAUGAAUAUCCUGUUGGAUGGUAUGUGCUGUUGUUGUAUGGGAAGUGAUGACAUUUUGCUAUGUGUGUGUGACUGAAAUAUGUUGUGAGGUUGGGAAUACCUUUCAGGUACAACAAUGGAGCAGCCAGACGCACUGAUGGCCAGUGAAGGGAAUCCACUCCCCCAACAUCUCAGAGAGAGCGUAUAUACAAUGGAGGCUGCUUGACCCACAUUAUCGCAAAAGAUCUUUUCAGCAAGCUGGAAGAAACUAUAAAGAGAAGUGACAUCAUGACUUGGCCUCACCCCUCCCACAACUCAACACCUGGAAACAUGUCUAGAGGACAAAGUCUUUGAACCAGGGGAGGGUGGUCCAGGGCUGGAAGGCAGUUCCAGCCUAUGCACUGAAGAUCUGUGACCAGUUUGUACCAUCUGUCAGGGUGAGACACUACUUGACUCAAAUUCUGUUUAGUUUAUAGAACUCAGACUGCAAAUUUCUUUUUGUGUCUUAGGUAACCAACUUUGAUCUCUAUGCUUGCUAAUUAUAAUCACUUAAAAUCUAUCUGUCUGUACUUAAUAAAUCUGUUUUACAUUUUACCUAAACAGUGUGUUUUGGUUGAAGUGUUUGGGAAAUCUCAGCUCAGUUUACAAAGGCCAGUGUGCGUCCUCUCCACAUCGAGAGAGACAAACUGGGCAAUGAACGUACACUGGUCAGGCUUCUGACCAGGGCAAGACAGUACAGUUCUGGGGUGCACGGCUGGGGAGCUGGGGGUAAUUGGCUGGAUCCUCUCUAUUGUUGGUUCAUGAGUGUCUGGGGAAAACAUUCAGGCAACUCAGUUGAGUGUGUCCCUGCCGGUGGAGGUCAGUGUAAGUGCUGCACCUGCCAGAGGUUUGUAGCUUGCC